rnacentral:tRNA from 1 species
AGUUAAUGAGCUUGUAUAAGCAUAUGUUUUGAAAACAUAAGAAAGAAAAUACAUUUUCUAUUAACUU